rnacentral:tRNA from 1 species
GGAGUGUUGGCUCAGUCAGUAGAGCGUCCGCCUCACAACCGGGAGGUCGUGGGUUCGAAACCCGACCGCGUCA